ACAGCAGCCGCCGCGGUAAUACGAAGGGUGCAAGCGUUACUCGGAAUUACUGGGCGUAAAGCGUGCGUAGGUGGUGGUUUAAGUCCGUUGUGAAAGCCCUGGGCUCAACCUGGGAAUUGCAGUGGAUACUGGAUCACUAGAGUGUGGUAGAGGAUAGUGGAAUUUCCGGUGUAGCAGUGAAAUGCGUAGAGAUCGGAAGGAACAUCUGUGGCGAAGGCGACUAUCUGGGCCAACACUGACACUGAGGCACGAAAGCGUGGGGAGCAAACAGGAUUAGAUACCCGAGUAGUCCCUGUCUCUUAUAA
rnacentral:rRNA from 1 species